rnacentral:piRNA from 1 species
UAGGAUAUGUGAGACCCAGUGUGGGGUUCCU